GGAGAGGUGGCUCAGAGGUUAAGAGCACUGACUGUUAUUUCAGAGGUCCUGAGUUCAAUUCCCAGCAACCACA
rnacentral:tRNA from 1 species